rnacentral:lncRNA from 1 species
AAGACAGAGGGUGAGAAGUGGGGCCAGAGCAGCAAGUCUGAAUUGCCAAACCCAAACCGAUUUUCCUCUCUGAUGUUGGAAGCCAAGUGGUUUGAGAGAGAGUUACAUAAAGAUGUGCCACUCCCUCAUGCCCUGGCCACCUCUCCUGGACCACCGGGACGGUGGAUAGGACAUGCUCAAUCCUGCCGGAGGCCCUGGUGAACACGAUGCCGUAUUCACUUUGAAUUUUCAUAGAGCCUGGAAUGACAUGCUGUGAAAGCCUUCUGAACGAGCGGGCACAUGAGGGAUACGACAGACCAUUGGCUUCGAAGAGCUCAGCUGAUUUUCACUCCCCACGUUCAAUUCAUGAGUCCACAUUCUCUGCGUCUGUGCCGAUCUUUUAUUCUUAAGUGGAGUCGCCUCAAGUGUUGCUCAUUGCGAAGAGCGGUGUGAAAAGUCCCAGGGAAAAGCGACCUCGUGCUUGGAGAACCAGUUGCCUCGUUGCAGAGAGAGGGUGUAUGAGCUAGAAUUAAAAUCUUUAUGAAUAUUACCGUGAACAGAUUCUAAAUAGUGUUGGCAGCUGGUACAAGCUGCAAACGGCCUCUACCCCUAGGUUUUCUCAGUCAGUUGGAAUCCGUCAGAGAAGACUUGGAGCAGCAGGGUUUGGAACCGGUUGUUAAAAAUGUGAUAAACAGAUUUAAGCGAAAGGAAUAAAGAUCUUCUCACCAGGGUAAACACGG